rnacentral:snRNA from 1 species
UGAUCCAAGUUGUGACUGAGACAUCCCCAUUGAUCGCCAGGGCUGAUUAGGCCGAUCUGGCUGGCUAGGUGGGUGUCCCCUUCCUCCCUUGCUGCUCUGUGUGAGUCACUCCCAAAGCUGUACACUGGUAGAAGAGGACGCCCUUCCCUGAACAGAGAUGGACCUGGCUUUGGUUGAGGGUAUAUGAGUAGCUGCGCUCCCCUGCUAUAACCUCCAAAGAAGCUCACAGGGCAAGAUUUUAUCUUCUCUUAUAACCUAGUAAUAUUCAAUUGGGUAUACAUAUCAGAUCUUCAUU